GUACUUUAGUAUAUAUAUAUAUUAAAAUUGAAAUGAUACAUAGAAUAUUAGCAUGGCCCCUGCACAAGGAUGGCACAAGAAAAGAAAAGACUACAAGACUAGAU